UGGGGGAAUAUUGGACAAUGGGCGCAAGCCUGAUCCAGCCAUGCCGCGUGAGUGAUGAAGGCCUUAGGGUUGUAAAGCUCUUUCGCCGGUGAAGAUAAUGACGGUAACCGGAGAAGAAGCCCCGGCUAACUUCGUGCCAGCAGCCGCGGUAAUACGAAGGGGGCUAGCGUUGCUCGGAAUCACUGGGCGUAAAGCGCACGUAGGCGGAUCGUUAAGUCAGGGGUGAAAUCCUGGAGCUCAACUCCAGAACUGCCCUUGAUACUGGCGAUCUCGAGUUCGAGAGAGGUUGGUGGAACUCCGAGUGUAGAGGUGAAAUUCGUAGAUAUUCGGAAGAACACCAGUGGCGAAGGCGGCCAACUGGCUCGAUACUGACGCUGAGGUGCGAAAGCGUGGGGAGCAAACAGGAUUAGAUACCCCUGGUAGUCCACGCCGUAAACGAUGGAUGCUAGCCGUUGGGGGGUUUACCUCUCAGUGGCGCAGCUAACGCCUUAAGCAUCCCGCCUGGGGAGUACGGUCGCAAGAUUAAAACUUAAAUGAAUUG
rnacentral:rRNA from 1 species